rnacentral:rRNA from 1 species
GACGUUAGCUGCAGAAGAAGCACCGGCUAACUCCGUGCCAGCAGCCGCGGUAAUACGGAGGGUGCGAGCGUUAAUCGGAAUUACGUGGGACGUAAAGCGCAUGCAGGUGGUUUGUUAAGUCAGAUGUAGAAACGGCCCGGGGCUACAACCGUACGGAAUUGCUAUUUAGAAACUGGACAAACUAGAGUACUGUAGAGGGGGUAGAAUUUCAGGUGUAGCGGUGAAAUGCGUAGAGAUCUGAAGGAAUACCGGUGGCGAAGGCGGCCCCCUGGACAGAUACUGACACUCAGAUGCGAAAGCGUGGGGAGCAAACAGGAUUAGAUACCCUGGUAG